rnacentral:lncRNA from 1 species
GGGAGAGUGCCUCAUCUCUUCCAUUUUCCAGGUAUUCCCGAGAUGAUUUAUCGGAGCUCAAAGCUUUGGG